rnacentral:lncRNA from 1 species
AAAAUAGUAAAAUGUUCUAUUUAUACUAGGUUGGAAAAACUGGACAAAAAUACCCCUAUGGGGUCAGUGCGGGCCGCACAAAAUGGACCGCGGCCGCACUGGUUCUUGGGUUUCAGUUGUUUGAUGACUUGAACUGGGGGAUGCGAACCGCGUGGGAGUGUACCGCGGCCGCAACGGUAACUGGCGCGGUCUACGCAGACGUGACCGCAUACCGCUUGAGGACAAAUGCCCCUUUGGUGAACCCUAUGAACGCGGACCGCACAGAGAAGGAGUGUGGCCGCGAAGAUUCUCUGCGGGCCGUGUGACCUUAGGCUCGAAAAUGUCCAGUCUCUGAACCUCCUAGUGCGUCCGCGGUCAUUAUUACGCGGUCCGCACUAGGCCCCUUUUUCUUUACGUCUAUUGGUCUUUGAUACUUGAGCAGGUUUCACCCCUUUUUGAGCCGAUUUUUGACAUCUCGUCACUUUGUCAGUCAACCUUGCAAUCAAGCACAACUUGUGAGCAUUUUGGGACUGUUUUUGUAUUAAUUUAUACUCAAAGCAUAGGCAAGUAGGGACAUAAACACUUUAAAAUCCUAACUUAUCAACUCCCCCAAACUUAAACCUUUGCUUGUCCUCAAGCAAACAAAAUAAGACCCACCCCUUAAAGAAACAUCCCAGUGAUUCCAGCUAUCCUAAAAUAACCUCAACAAGCAUCAAUUGGGACUAACAAUUGCCCUCAAUAUGAAUGCAUCAUUAACACAUUUAAAACUUUGAAAACUAUGGAUCAAGUGCGACACAAGAGCAUCAAGAGUUGACACAUUUCAUCAAAGAGCUUUUCUCACUUACUUUGGUCAUUGUGGAACCCAAACUCUCACAUCCUCAACUCUCCCUAAUCGAACCUCACCUUUUAAAUAUUGACACACAAAUCGAAGCAAAUGAAAUUUCACUUAUCUCUCUAAAAAAUGAAGGUCACAAGUCCGACUCUAAGUACCAUAUGCUUGCCCCUUAUGUAAGUAUCCACUAAUGUAAGCUCCCUUCAACUUGAGAUCAAAUAGGGCUUUUGUGGAAUCAUUUUGAAGGCUUUUAGGCAAGGGUAGGAUAUAUUUUUAUUCACGUGGGUUCAAUCUUCCCUUAAGCACUUCUUUUGAUUCAUUUCGGCACAACUUUCUUGGCUCUUUUUGAGGAAUUCACUUCUUUACAAGGGGUUAGAGAGACACAUUGUCACUCUUUCUUAUACAAUUCAAAACAUUUCUCCUUUUUCUACUUUCUCCACACCUUUUGUUUUUCACUUUUGUUUUCCUUGAAUCCCUUUUUAUUCUUGUUCACAUGGGACUUUCUUUUUGUCCUUUUUCUUUUCUUGCUUUUUCAUUGCCUUCUUUUCUUUCUUUUGUACCUUACUGCUUUGCUUCCUUUCUUGUCUCUCCCCCCAAACUUAGAUUUUUGCCAUUACUCAAGGGAAGAUUUGGGUGCCAAGAGAGGGUAAUUGUUUAGAACGGUUAUAGGCUUGUAGCAUUGGUUCUUGAAAGAAACAGGUUUAAGGCUCAAAAGGGUUAACUAGGGAUUAUUUCAUUGGAAGGCUAUGAAAUUGUUCAACUUAGCAUUUGGAUCAAGGAGAGCCUAUAAUCAUUUCUCAAGUCAAAUUUCACCUAGGAUUUCGCCUCAACAGACAUUUAGGGAAAGUUCUAGACCAUUGGCUCGGGACUUGGACUCAAAUUUCAAUUCCUCACCACACACGCUAGGGAUUUGCUAAAGAUAUCGAGUCGAGGGACUACAACGACCUUAGUUAUGAUUUAAACACACAAUGGUCCAAAAAGACCACAUGAUGAUCGUUUGGUCAAUGCAAGAGUCUCAAAGCCACAACUUUCACCAUCAAAAACACAACAUUAUAUCUUUGACCAUAGGAUCAAAGACAAAUGUGUUAGGCCCAAGUGAAACCUUGCUUGAGGUGCCUUUAACUACGCUUAUCAAAAACAAAAGAAAAAUCAAAGAAGUAGACUCAAACCUUUAAGAAGGUUGUCACGCCAUCUAUCAUUGGGAAGAGCCACCCGGUUCGCACAAUACUCCACCCUUGGAAAGAACCGUGGCAUUAAGAAAACCAAGGGCUUAUUGGAAACGCAAAAAUCAAAACAAGCGGCUACGAGCCUAACUACAAAGCUAAAAAUGAAAAUUUAGCGAAAAUAGAAAAUAGAAUAAUAUGUACAAUAGGGGAGUAGAAUAUACAAUGGGGGAUGAAUAUAUACAGAAAUGUAAAGUUAUAUAUAGCCCAAAGUAAAAAAACACAAAAUCAAUAAAAAUAAACUAAGAAUCUAUAUAUAUACAGUCAUCCAGAAAAAGUAGGGCGCAACCCCACGAGUAAAAGCUGGCAUUGUCCCAAUGCCAACUAUCAAAUAAAUAUCUAAACAACAGAAAUGAUAUAUGAUCUCCCUAGGCCUGGUCCGUCUGUAUGGGAUCAUCAGUGGUCCCCAAGUCCUCUGUAUGUAUGGGAACCUCAGACUGGUUCUCGAUCUCCUGCUGCUCAGCUGCUGGGACUUGGGCCUGCUCUUGAACCAGCUGACUGAUAGGUGCAUCACUGGAGGGGGUCUCCUAUGGGUCUGGUAGCUCAAUAACUGCACCAACUGAACUGCGGAGCUUCCUCUUCUUCCUUGGGGGCUUGGGUGCCUGCUCCUGCCGUGGCUGUGGCACUGGUGUUGCUGCUGGGGCUAGCUCAGUCCGUAGCACUCUCACCGACUCCUUGGACACCCUUGACUUCCUCAUUUUCUUGUACUCCUUGGCAAGCUCCCUCAAAGCCUUGCUAUGUGAAUCUACCGCCAUAGUCAAGGCGUCCUGAGUCCUCAUAAUCUUCUCCUGAUUUUCAGGAGCUUCUGCGUGUGUCCUCAAUGGACUGAGGAAACUGAGUAGUGGAAGGUGCUGAAUGGGCCUCAACUGUAGCAGACAAUGUAGACAACUUGGAUGUCGCAACUGACAUCCAGUUGUUCAAACUGGCUAGUGUCCGCCUCAACUGCUGGGCCGUGAAAGGAUGAGUCCGGGAAGAAGGGACCCCCGUGUCAACUGAAGUACUGGGGCCAGCAAAGGAGGAGAGUCGUGGAGGCAAAUCAUCAUCAGUGGUGACCGUAGGCAUGGUGGAUGGCUCUGUGGGGGGCUCAACCGAAGACACUACCGCCACUGGCUCUCAGACUGGCAGCUGGAGUAGAGGAAGGCGGCUUGUAACUUUUGUCUUUGGGGUUGUUUGGCCCCUUCAAACUGUACCAGGAAAAUGGAGCCACAGGUUUUACCUUGACGUCAAACGGUCUCUUCUCCACCUCCAAGUCCCGGAAAUACAUAGUAAGGGUGCUGGGAAAAGGGUAGUUCCGGUCAUGCUCAACCCCUACUACAGAAAUGGUGCGGGAUAUCACAUUUCCCACAUUGAUAGGGUAACCUGCCAUAAUAGAAGCAAUAAGAACCACCCGGGCAAGUGGAAUAGUCUGAUCAUGAGUGGUUGGAUCGAGCCGACUGCAUACAAAGGUCAACCACCCUCUAGCCUCGAAGUUGAAAGUUCUCCGAAGUAUUUUGGUCCCUGCUUGUAGCCAUUAUGGAACCAUACUCGGGAUUGCUAGGUACGAAGCUAACCACGGACGAAUCUCCUCACCCAUUGCUAACUUUUCAUUGUAAAUGGACUUAUCUUCGUCAAUGAACCCCAAAUACUCAUUCAACGCCUUCCCGGUGAAAACCACAUUUUUGUUUCACUUUCGUCACUUUAGUGCCUUUCAUGAUAUGAGCCACAUUGCUGUAAAACUCCUUGACCAUAUGCUCAUUUGCAUUCAAACAAUUGUCUUUAAGGAACUCCCAACUCGCUCGAGCCUGGAACUAUCUAUGCUCAUUGGGGUUUAGGGGUAGAAGGUCUUUGUCAAUAAAGCUCCGCUCAAUUAUCAACUUCCGUGCCGUCCACCAUUCUCUAAAUUUGUGGAAUGCCACCUGGCUGACAAACCAAUCUUCCGAAACUUCAGGUUUUCUAGUUCUCUCAACACCCCCAACCUGGGGCACCCCACUGUUCGGUACCUCAUUAUCACUAUUAGUCCCGUAUUCUGCACUCUCCCCAGAUACUGAAGCUGUGGGGGAGGUGGAGUAUUCACCAUUUCCUGUUGUUGAGCCAUCAAACGACUUAGAAUAUAUACGUUGUGGGGAUUGGACAAUAUGUGAAGUCGGGACUGCAGUAGCUGGCCCUGAAUCAGAAGAGAGGUCAUGGGAUGGUACGUACUCACUCCCCGAUUGGUCGUCUAUAGCAAUUUGUUUACAUGUUUUCAGUGUAGGUCGGGAAGUGAGUUUAACUUGUUUCCCUUUUCCUCCCCUGGAGGAGUCACCUCGGCCGGGUUGUUUAGCACCUCUUCCUCGUUGUUUUACCAUUGUCUGCAAACAAACACAUCUAACAUUGUUAGUUGAAGCACAGGCAGUGAAACAUGUGACUGAAUUAAAAUUGCAGAAGCAAAAUGAAAGUUGCAGACACUGCUGCAGAACCAUGCACCGCGGACCACGCCAUUAGGAAUGCGGCCGCAUUGGAGGCACCGCGGAUCGCGCUAAGGCGACCGCGGGCCGCACCGAUCAAAAAGCCAGGAAGGGUCUUCUCUAAAUCUCACACCGCAGUCUGCACAAAAUGGAGUCGCGGUCGCUGUGGGCUAGCACGGACUGCACAAACAUUACCGCGGCCGCGCUAGACACAAGUUGUUCCUCAGUCAUUCAAGCAUCGCAGACCGCGUGGAAGCAUAACGCGGACCGCGUUAGGGCACCGCGGACUGCGCUAAGGCGACCGCAGGCCGCACUGGGUUAGGUUCAGUGAGUAAACUAGGGAUUGCAUGCUUUUGUUCUAUUUUUGUUCAACUUUUUACCCCUACUUGUCCCUACUCAUGUACCUAAUCCUUAGUUAUUUCAAACUAACAUGGAAGCUACCCUACACUAACAAUUCGAAGACAAUUGUGAAGGCAAAGAAGUUACAGACUACUGGUAAGCAAUUAAAAUAAAAAUAAAAGAGUAAUAAUAAAAAAUGCAUGAAAUGUUACUAGGAUUAUGAAGAAUGAAUGCAAUAUAUCCACACAAGCAAGAAUCUCAGUUUUGGACGGGGAUGAACAGUAGAAUUAGGGUUCUGGGUUUCCAAUUUGCAAAAAGGGUAAAAUGAGACCCUUGGUCUCUAUUUAUAGAGCCCCAUUAGGACCCGUACUCACCUACCAGCACGGCCGCACGAAAGUGACCGCGGACCGUGCUGGGUUUAUUUGUGUGACCCCUAUCGGCCAUUUCAUCAAGUAUAUUACAUGCCUCUUGGUAAGAAAGUUUCAUAAAGUUCCCUCCAGCCAAUUGGUUCGCAAUGCAUUGAUUCGUGGUGUUGAUGCCCCGAUAAAAGGUUUGUUGAAUCAUAGCCUCGGUCAUGUCGUUAUUAGGGCACUCUUUCACCAUUGUUCUAUAUCCUUCCAUAUCUCGUGUAAAGGUUCCGUUGGCUCUUGCUUGAAAGCUAGAAUUUCAUCCCGAAGAGCUGUCAUAUGACUUGGAGAAAAGAACUUGGAAAUAAAUUUAUCUGCCAAUUCAUCCCAUGUUGUAAUACAAUGAUUGAUGAGCCUUUCUAACCAAUCCAAUGCUUUACCCCGAAGAGAGAACAGGAAAAGCCUCAACCUCAAUGCAUACUCGGACACGUUGGUCUGCUUGCUACCCCAGCAUGUAUCUACGAACCCCUUUAAGUGCUUGUAGGCAUUUUGAUUGGAGGCACCCGUGAAAUACCCUCUUUGCUCGAGCAAGGUCAGCAUAACAUUUGUGAUUUGAAAGUUCCCCGUUCGGAUUUGGGGAGGAACAAUAGCACUGGCGUAUCCUUGAUUUGGUAAAAUUCUAGGAGCCACUCUCGGUGGUGGCGGAAGAGGGUCUGGAAUAUUGUUGUUCUCAUUUGCAUUUACAUUGACAUGUCGGCCUCUCUGUGGAAGUUGAGGUAAGACCUCAUCUGGUUCUAGAUCCUCUACCUCCUCCCCUGCUAUCACAUUGCCGAGAGGGUCAUUUGCAUUAAGAGCCAUUGUACCUGAUUGAUCGACACAAACGAAAUUAGUAAACAAGAAGGAAAGAGAAGUACAACACAAAACUAACUAAACAUAUAGUCAACACCGUAAGCUCCCCAGCAACGACGCCAAAAAGUUGAUCGCUAUCAACUCGACACUACACUAUGGUAGGAAGAGCGGAUCACAAUAGCUUUUACCCGAAUAGAGGUCCGGGAUCGAAUUUUCAUAAGGCGCUAGUAGUGGAGUUGUAUUUUCUGUCUAGCCUAGAGUUGUGGUUGUGCUUCUAAUGUCACUUCAAUCAUCUUUUGAGUUUUUGUAUUUAUAACUACUAUUAUAAAACUAUGGAUUAAAGCUAGAUUAUGCUAGGAGAAUAUUGCUAAGUUGUAAUUAAUGUGAAGAAAGAGCACUAGGGUUGUGGCAUUACCUUGGUGGCUAAUUGACGAGUAGAUGUUACUUAGCUUCGAUUGACUUGUUUGGGGGUUAUGCUAUAAUCGUUGCACAAUUUUUACCCACUCUCACACCUCUCGGUAGAGAGAAUAAUUUUACCCAGUUGAAUCUCUCGAGACCAAUUGGGUUGGAAAAUUUGACCAAGAAACUAUGGUUCAAGUAGGGUGAUUACUCUCUCGAGAUUUAACCCGUUAAUUGGGACUAUCAUUUCUCAUGAGUCCAUCCCAAUUCCUCGUUGGGUCAAUUUUGAGGUCAUAAACUCUCUUUCUCAAGAAGAGUUAAACCCACAAAGCUUGAAUCCGUGUUAGCAACCACCAAUUCUAAAUUAAAUCAUAAAAUCAACCCAAAUAACAAACACCCAUAGUCAAUCUAACCCUAGAUGGCAACACCCAUCAAUUACCCACACUAGGGUUGAGCCACAACCCUAGCUAAUGGGUUUAACUACACAUAAUUAAAGAAGAAACUGAAGAAAUAGAUGAAGAACUACACAUAUUAAUUAAUUACUAAGAAGAAAAUACAAUAAUCUAUUGUUAAUGGGAAGCAAAUAUGCCAAAAAUGGCUACAACACCAAGCGUAUCUUUUCUCCUGUUCUCAGAUCUGACCUCCGCUCUAAAAAAAUAGUAAAAUGUUCUAUUUAUACUAGGCUGGAAAAACUGAACAAAAAUACCCCUGUGGGGUCAGUACAGGCCGUACAAAACGGACCGCGGCCGCACUGGCUCUUGGGUUUCAGUUGUUUGAUGACUUGAACUGAGGGAUGCGGACAACGUGGGAGUGUACCGCGGCCACGAAGGAAACUGGCGCGGUCCGUGCAGACGUGACCACAAACCGCAUGAGGACAAAUGACCCUUUGUUGAACCCUAUGAACGUGAACCGCACAGAGAAGGAGUGCGGCCACGAAGCUUCUACGCGGGUCGCGUGAAUCCUACCGCUGCCGCGUGACCUUAGGCUCGAAAAUGUCCAGCCUCUGAACCUCCUAGUGUGGUCGCGGUCAUUGUUACGCGGUCCGCAAUAGGCCCAUUUUUCUUCACUUCUCUUGGUCUUUGAUACUUGAGCAGGUUUCACUCCUUUUUGAGCCGAUUUUUGACAUCUUGUCACUUUGUU